UUGUUUUCCGUGGGAGAGCGAGGCAGCCACACCGGGCCGGCCUCCGCCGAAGGCGCAAACUCCCAUAAUCGCUCAGGCACCCAGCACCACGGAACACAC
rnacentral:ncRNA from 2 species